rnacentral:rRNA from 1 species
AUUGAACGCUGGCGGAAUGCUUUACACAUGCAAGUCGAACGGUAGAGGGGGCAACCCCUCGAGAGUGGCGAACGGGUGAGUAAUAUAUCGGAACGUGCCCAGUCGUGGGGGAUAACGUAGCGAAAGUUACGCUAAUACCGCAUACGAUCUAAGGAUGAAAGCGGGGGAUCGCAAGACCUCGCGCGAUUGGAGCGGCCGAUAUCAGAUAGGUAGUUGGUGGGGUAAAGGCUCACCAAGCCAACGAUCUGUAGCUGGUCUGAGAGGACGACCAGCCACACUGGAACUGAGACACGGUCCAGACUCAUACGGGAGGCAGCAGUGGGGAAUUUUGGACAAUGGACGCAAGUCUGAUCCAGCCAUUCCGCGUGCAGGAUGAAGGCCCUCGGGUUGUAAACUGCUUUUGUACGGAACGAAAAGGUCUCUCUUAAUACGGGGGACUCAUGACGGUACCGUAAGAAUAAGCACCGGCUAACUACGUGCCAGCCGCCGCCGUAA